UCCCUGGUGGCCUAGUGGUUAGGAUUCAGCGUUUUCACCACUGAGGCCCAGGGUUCAAUCCCUGGUCUGGGAA
rnacentral:tRNA from 1 species